AUUGAACGCUGGCGGCAGGCCUAACACAUGCAAGUCGAGCGGUAGAGAGGUGCUUGCAUCUCUUGAGAGCGGCGGACGGGUGAGUAAUGCCUAGGAAUCUGCCUAGUGGUGGGGGAUAACGUUCGGAAACGGACGCUAAUACCGCAUACGUCCUACGGGAGAAAGCGGGGGGAUCUUCGGACCUCGCGCCAUUAGAUGAGCCUAGGUCGGAUUAGCUAGUUGGUGAGGUAAUGGCUCACCAAGGCGACGAUCCGUAACUGGUCUGAGAGGAUGAUCAGUCACACUGGAACUGAGACACGGUCCAGACUCCUACGGGAGGCAGCAGUGGGGAAUAUUGGACAAUGGGCGAAAGCCUGAUCCAGCCAUGCCGCGUGUGUGAAGAAGGUACUUCGGAUUGUAAAGCACUUUAAGUUGGGAGGAAGGGUAGUAACCUAAUACGUUGCUACUUUGACGUUACCGACAGAAUAAGCACCGGCUAACUCGUGCCAGCA
rnacentral:rRNA from 1 species